rnacentral:rRNA from 1 species
GAUGAACGCUAGCUACAGGCUUAACACAUGCAAGUCGAGGGACCGGCGCACGGGUGAGUAACACGUAUCCAACCUGCCCUUUACUCGGGGAUAGCCUUUCGAAAGAAAGAUUAAUACCCGAUGUAAAGGAUGGGGAUGCGUUCCAUUAGGUUGUUGGUGAGGUAACGGCUCACCAAGCCUUCGAUGGAUAGGGGUGCGGAGAGGAAGGUCCCCCGCAAUGGAACUGAGACCCGGUCCAAACUGCGAGGGGAGGCAGCAGUGAUGAAUAUUGGUCAAUGGGCGUUAGCCUGACCCAGCCAAGUAGCGGGAAGGAUGAAUGUUUAUGGUUCGUAAACUACUUUUAUAUAAGAAUAUGUAUUAUAUGAAUAAGGAUCGGCUAACUCCGUGCCAGCAGCCGCGGUAAUAC